AAAAGAGAAGGAGAAGUUUACUUGUGAGAAGGAGAGUGUUAGCUUUGCUUUGGUGUUUAAGGCGAGAGAAGCAGAUUCGUCACGUGUUGGUAGAAUAGAGUUCCGACGUAUCAAAUCUUAUCGAAAGGUAAUAAAUUUUGGUAGGUUUGUUCUUAAAGCGUGUACGUUGAUUCUCCUUUUUACGGAAGUGAAUUCGGAUUAAUACUCAGUGAGUUAUAUGCAGUUUGGUGAGACGCGUUUUCUCUAUUGCGAACUGGGAUCAGCGGUUAACGGUUAGUUUAUGUUUUAGGGCUUCGUUUCUGCGGCUGUAGUUUUUUUGCUGUUUUUGUCCUUUUGGUUCUUAGAGAUUUUUGUUUGUGUGGUUUGUUGUAGGGCGUUGUUUGGAUGUUGCAGUCGCGAGGAGAGUCUUUCCUGGUUGUUUUUGUAGUUCAAAUCACCUUGUUAAGGUGAGUGCGUGACCAUGAGCUUAUCUAAGCGAUUGGAUUGAGUGAUUUAUUGUUUGAUGAUUUGUAGGUAACUAGAUGUGUUAUUGGAUGUUUAGCUUGCUGGAUGGUUUGUUUUUGUCAUAUAUGUGGGUGUUAUCUCAUUGCUUAUGUGUAUAGCUCGUAGAUGGGAGGAUCACCCUCAUUAAGUAUUUAUGAAAUAAUCUCUUUCUUUGAUGUAGGUAAAAGUAAAGUGUGAUCCGUGGAAUCAUGGCGAGGAGAGGAGGAUGAUCUAGGCACUCAUUGGUGUUUUAGAUUAUUGUUGGAUUUGUUAGGGUGUUAGAAUGGAAUUUAGAAACAUGUUAGGAUGACCAUGUUNNNNNNNNNNNNNNNNNNNNNNNNNNNNNNNNNNNNNNNNNNNNNNNNNNNNNNNNNNNNNNNNNNNNNNNNNNNNNNNNNNNNNNNNNNNNNNNNNNNNCUUUCAAUUUGGUAUCAGAGCAUUUACGGUUCUAGGACGAGAUUUAAUUGGUAAAAAUUGUGAUGUGAUGUGUGAAUUUCAUUGAUGAGGAAUGAUGAUGUGGAUUGCAUGCUGAUUGAGUGUGUGUUUAAUCAAUUGUGUGAGCAUGGAGACCUAGAUCAUCCUCUCGAGCCUUCAGUGAGAUUCCAGGGUAAGUUGUGUCGUUUGGUGAUUUGUUUGGUGUUCUUAGCCUUCUGUUGUGUUGCAGAUGGUUAGAGGUGGAGCUGUCGGUCGUGGUCGUGGUCGUGGGCGUGGUCGUGGUAGGGGGCGUGGUGUUGCCUCGGGUAGCGACACGAGUGUGGGCCGGAAUGCUACGGCCGAUUUUGUUAGUGAGUCCUAGUCGCAUUAGGACGGGCCCGUGGGUGGUGAGAGUGUGAGUGCCGUGGGAGCCGGUUCGUCCGGAAACGGUACUAGUGUUGUUGGAAACCCAGUUAGGGGUGUUCCAACAGGUGCAGCCCAGGGUCAGAAUGAGCGGCUUGCGGAUUUACUGACGCAGCUCUUGGAGCGGUUACCAGGUGUGGUACCGCCGGUGCUGGCUCAUGUUGGGCCUGAGUUGCAGGCUCCUGUCAGGCCUGAGGUGCAGGCUCCUCUUGGGCCUGGUGUGCAUCCUGUUGGGCUUGGUGUGCAGCCUGUUGUUGGGGUUGUACCGCCUGAGGGGGUAGGUGCGGUGGUCGAGCAGCCAUACUACCUGCGGAUGUUGGAGCAGCUGCAACGGUUCGGAUGUCCUUGUUCUUCGGAGGUUCCGACCUGGCUGUAGCGGAUGAGUGGCGGGUGCGAUUGGAGCGGUAUUUCCAGUCGAUAAGGUGCCCAGAGGCGUAUUGGGUGGACCUAGCGGCCCACUACUUGACGGGUGAUGCACAUUUGUGGUGGCGGAGUGUGCUGGCCAAGAGGGGGCAGGGAUUGGCGGUGUGGGGAGAUUUCUUGUCAGAGUUUAAUGCCAAGUAUUUUCCGGCGGAGGUACAUGACCGGAUGGAGUCGCAGUUCCUGGCGUUGACUCAGGGCGAGCGGUCGGUGCGGGAGUACGACUUGGAGUUCAGCCGACUUUUGGUGUACUCGGGGCGUGCGGGAGAUCCUGAGCAGAUGCCGGUGCGUCGGUUCAUGAAGGGUCUCAGCCCUGAUAUGAGGGUGCGGUGCAAGGUGCGGGCCUAUGCGUCGCGUGUGGAGCUGGUUGAGGUGGCGGCGGGGAUCGAGGACGAGUUGAGGAGUCACAGGGUGAUUCCUAGUCCGUCGGCGCAACCGAAGAAGACCCAGCCGCAGUCGGUUCCGAGAAGAGGUGGUAAACCUGCUCAGGGACAGAAGAGGAAGUGGGAUGACACUUCUAGGGUGAGUCAGGGUGAUCGGAGGUGCUUCAGGUGUGGGAGCACGGAUCACAGGGUAGCGAGCUGUCCGAAGAAGGGCGAGCCGUGGGUGGAUACCCGUAUCAGUUAUCACUGCAGAGAGACGGGGCACAUCAAGACGAGGUGUCCUAAGUUGCAGCAGAUGACGGUAGCAGCGGUGCAGCCGGUGAUGCAGCCAGUGGUGCACCAGUGGGUGCCGCCAGGAUUGCAGCUGGGAGCACCGCCGGUGGCACAGAUCGAGGGAUCGAGGGGGUAUACGACCAUGGAGACAGGAGAGCCAAGCACUGGACGACCGAUCACAGGUUUAAUUCUAUGACUCAUUUAAAUCUAUGACUCAUUCUGUUUCCUUCCGUUGUUUUAGAAUUUUUGUUGUUUUCCUAUGAUGUUGGGGUGGGCAGUCUUAGUGAUUUUGUUGGUGGGCGGAUUCUUGUCCCACUUGAUGUUUGAUUCUGGAGCUAGGAAUAGCUUCAUUACCCCAGAGUGCGCGACGGGUGGUAACAUCCGAAGAGAUCCCGAUGGUUGUUAUGGAGCCGUUAGAGUCGCAGGAGGCGCUUUGCUAGCGGUUCAGGGGCGGGCUAGUGGUGUGGAUGUACAGAUUGCGUGAGAGUCAAUGCCGGGAGAUCUGUACAUUAGUCCGGUGGAGUUGUAUGAUGUAAUUCUGGGCAUGGAUUGGUUGGAGCGGCGCAGAGUUCAUCUGGAUUGUCACCGGGGGAGAGUAUACUUCGAACGUCCCGGACCGAAGAUGUAUUUCCAGGGUGUGAGACCGAUUUCGGAGAGUUUAGUGAUUUCAGCGAUUCAGGCGGAUAAGAUGAUCCGAAAGGGACGGGAAGCUUAUUUGGCUACGAUUGUCAUGCCAGAGACAGUCGAUGAGGUAGCAGUGGAUAAGAUCCGGGUGGUCCAGGAGUUCGAGGAUGUGUUUCAGACGUUAAAGGGGUUACCACCAUCUCGGUCUGAUCCCUUCACGAUUGAGUUGGAGCCCGGGACAACGCCGUUGUCUAAGGCUCCAUACCGGAUGGCUCCAGCAGAGAUGGCUGAGCUGAAGAAACAGUUGGAGGAUCUGCUGGGUAAGGGUUUCAUCCGUCCUAGUGUUUCACCGUGGGGAGCACCAGUGUUGUUCGUUAAGAAGAAGGAUGGGAGUUUCCGGCUGUGUAUCGAUUAUCGGGGACUUAACCGAGUCACGGUGAAGAAUAAUUAUCCUUUGCCGCGGAUUGACGAGUUGUUGGACCAGUUGAGGGGAGCUACGUGGUUUUCUAAGAUUGAUUUGGCGUCGGGUUACCAUCAGAUUCCUAUCGACGAGGCGGAUAUCCGUAAAACGGCGUUCAAGACGAGGUAUGGGCAUUAUGAGUUCGUGGUGAUGCCUUUCGGGUUGACUAAUGCACCAGCGGCGUUCAUGAGGCUGAUGAACAGCGUGUUCCAGGCGUUUGUAGAUGAGUUUGUUAUCAUCUUCAUUGAUGAUAUCCUGGUGUAUUCUAAGAGUCCUGAGGAGCACGAGGUACACUUGCGGGCAGUGUUGGAGAAGCUGCGGGAGCAGAAGCUGUAUGCUAAGCUGAGCAAGUGCAGUUUCUGGCAGAGAAAGAUAGGUUUUCUGGGUCAUAUUGUGUCUGCAGAGGGAGUUUCUGUGGAUCCAGAGAAGAUUGAGGCUAUCAGAGAUUGGCCUAGACCGCAGAAUGCCACAGAGAUACAGAGUUUUCUAGGAUUGGCGGGUUACUACAAACGGUUUGUGAAGGGCUUUGCCAGUACACUCAGCCAAUGACCAAGCUGACGGGGAAGGAUGUUCCUUUUGUGUGGACUCCUGAGUGUGAGCAGGGUUUCGCUCAACUCAAGGAGAUGUUGACGAGUACGCCAGUUUUGGCUUUACCGGAGCAGGGAGAGCAGUAUGUGGUGUACACGGACGCUUCGGGAGUUGGAUUGAGUUGUGUGUUGAUGCAGCAGGGUAAGGUGAUCGCCUAUGCUUCGCGGUAGUUGCGGAAGCAUGAGGGCAACUACUCUACUCAUGAUUUGGAGAUGGCAGCGGUGGUCUUUGCUCUGAAGAUUUGGAGAUCUUAUCUGUAUAGAGCGAAGGUUCAUGUGUUUACAGAUCAUAAGAGUCUGAAGUAUAUAUUCACGCAGCCUGAGUUGAACUUGAGGCAGAGGCGCUGGAUGGAGUUGGUUGCAGACUAUGAUUUGGAGAUAGCUUACCAUCCCGGUAAGGCUAAUCUGGUUGUAGAUGCUCUGAGCCGAAAGCGAGCGGCUUCAGCUCGAGGGCAGGGUAUGGAGACCUUGGUGGGAGAACUUAGCACCUUGCGGUUAUGUGCUAUUUCUCAGGAGCCACUAGGGUUAGAAGCUGCUAACCGAGCAGACCUUCUGACCAGAGUUCGAGCAGCUCAGGAGAAGGAUGCAGGGCUGGUUAAUGCUUCUAAGGAUACUGAGUCAGAGUAUCAGGUUGCAGCCAAUGGGACUAUCCUUGUGCAUGGGCGAGUUUGUGUGCCCAAGGAUGAGGAGUUGAGACGAGAGAUCUUGAGUGAGGAUCAUGCGAGUAGGUUCUCUAUUCAUCCAGGAGCGACCAAGAUGUACCGAGAUCUGAAGCGGUAUUAUCAUUGGGUCGGGAUGAAGAGGGACGUAGCUAAAUGGGUCUCUGAGUGCGAUGUAUGUCAGCUAGUGAAGGCUGAGCAUCAGGUGCCGAGUGGAUUAUUGCGAAGUCUCCCUAUUCCGGAGUGGAAAUGGGACAUGAUCACGAUGGAUUUCGUGGUAGGGUUGCCAAUGUCUCGGUUCAAGGAUGCCAUUUGGGUCAUUGUGGACCGUUUGACUAAGUCUGCACAUUUCUUGGCUAUCAAGAAAACCGAUGGAGCGGCAGUGCUAGCUAAGAAGUAUGUGCAGGAGAUUGUGAGACUUCAUGGAGUAGCGGCCAGUAUUGUGUCAGACCGGGAUUCGAAGUUCACUUCGGCGUUCUAGAAGGCUUUCCAGAAGGAGAUGGGUACUAAGGUGCAUUUAAGCACGGCUUACCACCCUUAGACGGACGGGCAGUCUGAGCGGACCAUCAGACACUUGAGGAUUUGUUGAGGAUGUGUGUGUUAGACUGGGGUGGUCAGUGGGCAGAUCACUUGAGCUUGGUUGAGUUUGCUUAUAAUAAUAGCUACCAGGCGAGUAUUGGGAUGGCUCCUUAUGAGACGUUGUAUGGGAGGCCAUGUCGGACACCUCUAUGCUGGACUCAAGUGGGGAGAGGAGCAUUUAUGGUGCGGAUUUUGUUCAGGAGACUUCAGAGAAGAUUCGGGUUCUGAAGCUGAACAUAAGAGAGGCGCAGGAUCGGCAAAAGUGUUAUGCUGAUAAGAGCCGUAAGGAGUUGGAGUUUGAGGUUGGAGAUAUGGUGUAUCUCAAGAUGGCGAUGUUGCGUGGUCCUAACAGGUCCCUUACCGAGACUAAGCUGAGUCCGAGGUUUAUGGGUCCUUUCAGGAUUGUGGAGCGGGUUGGACCAGUGGCUUAUCGGUUGGAGUUACCUGAGGUAAUGCAUGCAUUUCAUAAGGUAUUCCACGGGUCGAUGCUGAGGAAGUGUCUUCACAAGGAUGAUGAGGUGUUGGCUACGAUCCCGGCAGAUCUUCAGCCUAGUAUGACCUUGGAGGCGAGGCCAGUGAGGGUUCUCGAGAGGCGGGUAAAGGAACUUCGACGUAAAAAGAUUCCUUUGAUGAGAGUCCAGUGGGACUGUGAUGGAGUCUUGGAGGAGACUUGGGAGCUAGUGGCCAGGAUGAAGGCAAGAUUCCGGAAGUGGUUUGACAAGCAAGUCGAGCAGUAGACCGUUGGCUUGUUUUGUUUUGAGUUUUGAUUUGGUUGUAUCUCUUUUGUAUUUUCAUUUUUGGUGUAAUGAUUAUGACAUUGGAGAUUAAUAAGAUGAGUCUUUCUUGGAUUUGACUUGUUGUGUUAUGUGUAAGAGAAAUAUGUGCGAGUUUCUAAAAAUAGAAAGUGUCGGGUUUGACAGUUCUAUUUUUGGAAAGUCUCGGGGUGGUGGUUAGUAUAGCAUUGCGAUGCUAUAAGUGAACCACACGUGAGGUAUAUCAGAUCGAGAGUAGAGUCGGUUUAAUUCCGGUUGAUUUCCUAAACUGGUCGAUUUGUUUAAUUGAAUCAAAGAAGGUUUAAUUAAAGUCGGUUUAGGUAAAUUCUGGUUUAAUAAGAAUUAAACCAAAAACCCUAGUUUAAUAAAGAACGCUUCUUCUCUCUUUUGUUUUGUGGCUGUUGUUUCUAAGAGUUGAGUUGAGAAAAAGAGAAGGAGAAGUUUACUUGUGAGAAGGAGAGUGUUAGCUUUGCUUUGGUGUUUAAGGCGAGAGAAGCAGAUUCGUCACAUCUUGGUAAAAUAGAGUUCCGACGUAUCAAAUCUUAUCGAAAGGUAAUGAAUUUUGGUAAGUUUGUUCUUAAGGCGUGUACGUUGAUUCUCCUUUUUACGGAAGUGAAUUCGGAUUAAUACUCAGUGAGUUAUAUGCAGUUUGGUGAGACGCGUUUUCUAUGUUGCGAACUGGGAUCAGCGGAGUUUGUAAGUACGAUCGUAGUUUCAUCGUUUCUCCGAUCGGCACCAAAUUUUGUGGGGGGCUUUGUGACGUCUGGAUCUUGCUUUUCACCGUAGGGAUUAAGAAGUUAACGGUUAGUUUAUGCUUUAGGGCUUCGUUUCUGCGGUUGUAGUUUUUUUGCUGUUUCUGUCUUUUUGGUUUUUAGAGAUUUUUGUUUGUGUGGUUUGUUGUAGGGCGUUGUUUGGAUGUUGCAGUCGCGAGGAGAGUCUUUCCUGGUUGUUUUUGUAGUUCAAAUCACCUUGUUAAGGUGAGUGCGUGACCAUGAGCUUAUCUAAGCGAUUGGAUUGAGUGAUUUGUUGUGUGAUGAUUUGUAGGUAACUGGAUGUGUUAUUGGAUGUUUAGCUUGCUGGAUGGUUUGUUUUUGUCAUAUAUGUGGGUGUUAUCUCAUUGCUUGUGUAUAUAGCUCGUAGAUGGGAGGAUCGCCCUCACUAAGUAUUUAUGAAAUACUUACGCAUCUCUUUCUUUGAUGUAGGUAAAAGCAAAGUGUGAUCCGUGAAAUCAUGGCGAGGAGAGGAGGAUGAUCUAGGCACUCAUUGGUGUUUUAGAUUAUUGUUGGAUUUGUUAGGGUGUUAGAAUGGAAUUUAGAAACAUGUUAGGAUGACCAUGU
rnacentral:lncRNA from 1 species